UGGGGAAUAUUGGACAAUGGGGGGAACCCUGAUCCAGCGACGCCGCGUGAGUGAAGAAGUAUUUCGGUAUGUAAAGCUCUAUCAGCAGGGAAGAAAAUGACGGUACCUGACUAAGAAGCCCCGGCUAACUACGUGCCAGCAGCCGCGGUAAUACGUAGGGGGCAAGCGUUAUCCGGAUUUACUGGGUGUAAAGGGAGCGCAGACGGUUUUGCAAGUCUGAAGUGAAAGCCCGAGGCUUAACCUCGGAGUUGCUUUGGAAACUGUAUAACUAGAGUAUCGGAGAGGUAAGUGGAAUUCCUAGUGUAGCGGUGAAAUGCGUAGAUAUUAGGAGGAAGACCGGUGGCGAAGGCGGCUUACUGGACGAAAACUGACGUUGAGGCUCGAAGGCGUGGGGAGCAAACAGG
rnacentral:rRNA from 1 species